CAGUCGCCGCGGGAAUACGAUGGGGGCUAGCGUUGUUCGGAAUUACUGGGCGUAAAGCGCACGUAGGCGGAUAUUUAAGUCAGGGAUGAAAUCCCGCAGCUCAACUGCGGAACUGCCUUUGAUACUGGGUAUCUUGAGUAUGGAAGAGGUAAGUGGAAUUCCGAGUGUAGAGGUGAAAUUCGUAGAUAUUCGGAGGAACACCAGUGGCGAAGGCGGCUUACUGGUCCAUUACUGACGCUGAGGUGCGAAAGCGUGGGGAGCAAACAGGAUUAGAUACCCCCGUAGUCCCUGUCUCUUAUAU
rnacentral:rRNA from 1 species